rnacentral:rRNA from 1 species
GUGACCCCCCACAUGGGUACUGAGACACGACCAGACUCCUACGGGAGGCAGCAGUAGAAUAUGUCAUGAGCACUCUGACCAGCAUGCGCGUGCAGAAGACAGCCCUCUGGGUCGUAAACUGCUUUUAUCGGGAAUAAACCUACUUACGUGUAAGUAGCUGAAUGUACCGAAGGAAUAAGGAUCGGCUAACUCCGUGCCAGCAGCCGCGGUAAUACGGAGGAUCCAAGCGUUAUCCGGAUUUAUUGGGUUUAAAGGGUGCGUAGGCGGCUUAUUAAGUCAGGGGUGAAAGACGGUGGCUCAACCAUCGCAGUGCCCUUGAUACUGAUGAGCUUGAAUACACUAGAGGUAGGCGGAAUGUGACAAGUAGCGGUGAAAUGCAUAGAUAUGUCACAGAACACCGAUUGCGAAGGCAGCUUACUAUGGUGUCAUUGACGCUGAGGCACGAAAGCGUGGGGAUCAAACAGGAUUAGAUACCCUGGUAGUCCACGCCCUAAACGAUGAAUACUCGCUGUUAGCGAUACACAGUUAGCGGCUAAGCGAAAGCGUUAAGUAUUCCACCUGGGGAGUACGCCCGCAAGGGUGAAACUCAAAGGAAUUGACGGGGGCCCGCACAAGCGGAGGAGCAUGUGGUUUAAUUCGAUGAUACGCGAGGAACCUUACCCGGGCUUGAAAGUUAGUGAAUGAUCUAGAGAUAGGUCAGUGAGCAAUCACACGAAACUAGGUGCUGCAUGGCUGUCGUCAGCUCGUGCCGUGAGGUGUUGGGUUAAGUCCCGCAACGAGCGCAACCCCUAUGUUUAGUUGCCAGCACGUUAAGGUGGGGACUCUAAACAGACUGCCUGUGCAAACAGAGAGGAAGGAGGGGACGACGUCAAGUCAUCAUGGCCCUUACGUCCGGGGCUACACACGUGCUACAAUGGAUGGUACAGAGGGCAGCAAGCUGGCAACAGCAAGCAAAUCUCAAAAAGCCAUUCACAGUUCGGAUAGAGGUCUGCAACUCGACCUCUUGAAGUUGGAUUCGCUAGUAAUCGCGUAUCAGCAAUGACGCGGUGAAUACGUUCCCGGGCCUUGUACACACCGCCCGUCAAGCCAUGGAAGUUGGGGGUACCUAAAGUAUGUAACCGCAAGGAGCGUCAUAGGAAUCCAUGUCG